rnacentral:lncRNA from 10 species
CCUGUCUCUACUAAAAAAAAGAAAAAGAAAAAGAAAAUAUGGCAUAAUUCCACAAGUUUCUAGAAAAGGAAACAGUAUCAACAAGCACUCAAAAGCAUGGCUUUGGAUAAUUCCAAUGAGAAGACAAGAGAGAAGGGGAGACUCUCAAAGAAACUAGUGAUGGCAGAGCCCUUUAAGCAAGGACGUAGAAUGGAUGUUCAAAAAGAUGGAGGUGUGAUCCAGAGAACAUGCCUUUCACUGUGAAAACCAGCACCUUCAAGGCCAGGCGCAGUGGCUUGCGCCUAUAAUCCCAGCAUA